CCUACGGGUGGCUGCAGUGGGGAAUAUUGCGCAAUGGGCGAAAGCCUGACGCAGCGACGCCGCGUGAGGGAUGAAGGUCUUCGGAUCGUAAACCUCUGUCAGCAGGGAAGAACGGUCACUGUGCUAAUCAGCAGUGAAUUGACGGUACCUGCAAAGGAAGCACCGGCUAACUCCGUGCCAGCAGCCGCGGUAAUACGGAGGGUGCGAGCGUUAAUCGGAAUUACUGGGCGUAAAGCGCUCGUAGGCGGUAUGUCAAGUCAAGGGUGAAAUCCCCGCGCUCAACGUGGGAACUGCCUUUGAAACUGGCAAACUGGAGUGUGUGAGAGGAGAGUGGAAUUCCAGGUGUAGGAGUGAAAUGCGUAGAUAUAUGGAGGAACAUCAGUGGCGAAGGCGACUAUCUGGCACAUAACUGACGCUGAGGGGCGAAAGCGUGGGUAGCAAACAGGAUUAGAUACCCGAGUAGUC
rnacentral:rRNA from 1 species